rnacentral:rRNA from 1 species
CAGUCGCCGCGGUAAUACGUAGGUGGCAAGCGUUGUCCGGAAUUAUUGGGCGUAAAGCGCGCGCAGGUGGUUUAAUAAGUCUGAUGUGAAAGCCCACGGCUCAACCGUGGAGGGUCAUUGGAAACUGUUAAACUUGAGUGCAGGAGAGAAAAGUGGAAUUCCUAGUGUAGCGGUGAUAUGCGUAGAGAUUAGGAGGAACACCAGUGGCGAAGGCGGCUUUUUGGCCUGUAACUGACACUGAGGCGCGAAAGCGUGGGGAGCAAACAGGAUUAGAUACCCCGGUAGUCCCUGUCUCUUAUAC